GACGAACGCUGGCGGCGUGCUUAACACAUGCAAGUCGAACGGAAAGGCCCUGCUUUUGUGGGGUGCUCGAGUGGCGAACGGGUGAGUAACACGUGAGUAACCUGCCCUUGACUUUGGGAUAACUUCAGGAAACUGGGGCUAAUACCGGAUAGGAGCUCCUGCUGCAUGGUGGGGGUUGGAAAGUUUCGGCGGUUGGGGAUGGACUCGCGGCUUAUCAGCUUGUUGGUGGGGUAGUGGCUUACCAAGGCUUUGACGGGUAGCCGGCCUGAGAGGGUGACCGGCCACAUUGGGACUGAGAUACGGCCCAGACUCCUACGGGAGGCAGCAGUGGGGAAUAUUGCACAAUGGGCGGAAGCCUGAUGCAGCAACGCCGCGUGCGGGAUGACGGCCUUCGGGUUGCAAACCGCUUUCGCCUGUGACGAAGCGUGAGUGACGGUAAGGGGUAAAGAAGCACCGGCUAACUACG
rnacentral:rRNA from 1 species